AUGACCGUACUUGAACAUGAUCUUUUCUAUAGGCUCGUACUUCUGUUUUCUUGAUAUCUAAAGAGACAGAAAACCAAUUUAGAGGAUGAGCCAUAGCUGCUUGACCAAAGCGUAAUUAACCGACCAUUGGCUCAAUGUCUGAGCAUCUAGUGUAGUAGAGGAUCGUUCUCGAAUUGCCUUGUGAAGUUGGUGUGGUCUUGCAAUGGGGAGUAAUGUAAAUU